rnacentral:rRNA from 1 species
UAGUCCACGCCGUAAACGAUGGUCACUAGCUGUUCGGAUUUCGGUCUGAGUGGUUAAGCGAAAGUGAUAAGUGACCCACCUGGGGAGUACGUUCGCAAGAAUGAAACUCAAAGGAAUUGACGGGGGCCCGCACAAGCGGUGGAGCAUGUGGUUUAAUUCGAUGAUACGCGAGGAACCUUACCAAGGCUUAAAUGUAGAUUGACAGGUUUAGAGAUAGACUUUUCUUCGGACAAUUUACAAGGUGCUGCAUGGUUGUCGUCAGCUCGUGCCGUGAGGUGUCAGGUUAAGUCCUAUAACGAGCGCAACCCCUGUUGUUAGUUACCAGCGAUUAAAGUCGGGGACUCUAACAAGACUGCCAGUGCAAACUGUGAGGAAGGUGGGGAUGACGUCAAAUCAUCACGGCCCUUACGUCUUGGGCUACACACGUGCUACAAUGGUAGGUACAGCGAGCAGCCACAACGCGAGUUGGAGCGAAUCUUAAAAACCUAUCACAGUUCGGAUCGGAGUCUGCAACUCGA